UACGGAAGGCAGCAGUGGGGAAUAUUGCACAAUGGGCGCAAGCCUGAUGCAGCCAUGCCGCGUGUAUGAAAAAGGCCUUCGGGUUGUAAAGUACUUUCAGUCGUGAGGAAGGUGUUAAGGUUAAUAACCUUAGCAAUUGACGUUAGCGACAGAAGAAGCACCGGCUAACUCCGUGCCAGCAGCCGCGGUAAUACGGAGGGUGCGAGCGUUAAUCGGAAUUACUGGGCGUAAAGGGCACGCAGGCGGUUAAUUAAGUUGGAUGUGAAAUCCCCGGGCUUAACCUGGGAAUGGCAUUCAAGACUGGUUAGCUAGAGUCUUGUAGAGGGGGUUAGAAGUUCCAUGUGUAGCGGUGAAAUGCGUAGAGAUGUGGAGGAAUACCGGUGGCGAAGGCGGCCCCUGGACAAAGACUGACGCUCAUGUGCGAAAGCGUGGGGAGCAAACGAGGAUUAGAUACC
rnacentral:rRNA from 1 species